rnacentral:RNase_P_RNA from 1 species
GGAGUCGGACAGGCAGUCGCUGCCUCGGAUCCAUCGAAGCAGAGGAAAGUCCGGGCUCCAAAGGGCAAGGGUGCCAGGUAAUGCCUGGGAGGCGCAAGCCUACGGAAAGUGCCGCAGAAAACAAACCGCCUCGUAUCGGAUCCCCGAUAUCGAGGUAAGGGUGAAAAGGUGCGGUAAGAGCGCACCGCGCCGACGGUAACGUCGGUGGCAGGGUAAACCCCACCCGGAGCAAGACCAAAUAGGGGAGCAGUCCGCAUAAAAAGCGGCAAGGUGUGGCCCGCAUCGCUCCCGGGUAGGUCGCUGGAGGCGUAUGGUGACAUGCGUCGCAGAUGAAUGGCUGCCCUCGACAGAACCCGGCUUAUCGGCCGACUCCCGCC